rnacentral:misc_RNA from 1 species
GAUGAAGAACGCAGCGAAAUGCGAUACGUAAUGUGAAUUGCAGAAUUCAGUGAAUCAUCGAAUCUUUGAACGCAUAUUGCGCUCUCUGGUAUUCCGGAGAGCAUGCUUGUUUGAGUAUCAGUAAACACCUCAACUUCCAUAUCUUUUUUGAAAUGGGAGUUGGACUUGAGUGAUCCCAACGCUUUUCCUCACCGAAAAGUGGCGGGUUACUUGAAAUGCAGGUGCAGCUGGACUUUUCUCUUAGCUAUAAGCAUAUCUAUUUAGUCUGCCUAAAAAACAGAUUAUUACCUUUGCUGCAGCUAACAUAAAGGAGAAUAGUUCUUGUGCUGACUGAUGCAGGAUUCACAAAGACGGCUUCGGCCGACUUUGUAAACUCGAUCUCAAAUCAAGUAAGACUACCCGCUGAACUUAAGCAUAUCAAUAAGCGGAGGA